rnacentral:tRNA from 1 species
GUGGGUGUAGCUCAGAUGGUUAGAGCGCAGGAUUGUGGCUCCUGAGGUCGUGGGUUCAAAUCCCAUCACUCACC